AAAGGCGUAACGAUUUGGGCACUGUCUCAACAACAGACUCGGUGAAAUUGUAAUUCCGGUGAAGAUGCCGGAUACCUGCGACAGGACGGAAAGCCCCCAUGGAGCUUUACUGUAGCUUGACAUUGGGUCUUGGUACUACAUGUACAGGAUAGGUGGGAGGCUUUGAAACCAGGACGCCAGUUUUGGCGGAGCCAUCCUUGGGAU
rnacentral:rRNA from 1 species